rnacentral:lncRNA from 1 species
CUAAGGCAGGAGGAUCGCUUGAGUAUAAUAUAGUAGAAGCCCAUGAGUCCACACAGAUAUAAAUGAAUGAAUGAAUGAUGAAUAGGGAAAAAGAGAAAAGUCUUUAUUGCAUUAGAAUGCUAGUAAUAAAUAUCACCACUUGGCAACUGUCAGGAUAAUGAUGGAUUCAGACACAGAACACCAAUGGAUGCUAAAACAAGUAGGUGAAGGUUUAUUGAGGAAUGGAACAUUUACAUAGUGUCAAAGCUUUUCCCCCACAAAAUAAUGCAUUACAAAGGUAAAAAUAAUAACUUUAUAGUGGAAGAAUCUGAGAAACAACAAAUCUGAUAUUAGUCAAAGUAACAUCACUAGAAAUGAGACAAAGUAACAUCACAUACUGUCUCAUAUGUCAUACUGAGAAGAAUACAGCAUAACUUCUGUCAGAUUCCUAUUAUAAAGGCAUAAUCUGAAUCUAAUCAUAAGGAAACAGAGAAACCCAAACUGAGGGGCCUUCUACAAAAUAAUUAGCCUGCUUUCUUGAAAAAAAAAAAAAAAGUCUGGGUUGCAGAAGACAGGGAAAGACUGAGAAAUUAUUCCAGACUGAAGUAGAUUAAAGAGAUAUGACAAUUAAAUGCAACCCAUGAUUCUAGAUUGGAUCCUGGACAAAAAGGAGAAAAAAAACUUCCUAUCAGGACAUUAUUAAGAUAAUUGUAGAAAUUGAACGGGAUAUCUUAGAUGAAAGGGUUAUAUCAGUAUUAAUUUCUUAGUUUAGAUGGCUAUCCUGUGGAUUUGUAGGUGAACAUGGGAACAAUUAGGGAACCUUGUAUAUUCUUGCGUCUUCUCUGUAAUUUGGAAUGUACCUUAAAAUAAAAAGUAAAAACCAAAAAACCCAAAAGAAAAGGCUCCAGUGGAUUACUGCCACAUUGAGCUCGAUAAGCAGACUUCUUCGCUUGGCCCUGCUGGCUCCUGCCUUCAUCUCUUUUCACUCUUCUCUUGCUCUUACCUCUCCAGCCACCAUCGUCUUUCGCUUCUAGGAGCAUGCCAAAUGGGUUUCUAUCUCACAGCUUUGGCAUUCACCAUUCUUAUUUCCGCAAAAGAUUCCUCCUGGUCUUCACGAGCUCCCAUUCCUUCUCAUUCAGCUGUUGACUCAAAUGGGUCACCUUAGGCUUUUUCAUUUUUUUCCACUGCAUUUUGAGACUUAUUUGUUUACCUGUUUGUUUCCUGUCUUUGUUGAGUAAAUCUAAGCAAGCUCACUGAGGGCAAGGACUUUGUCUCUUCAACCCAGCAUCCCCAACAGCUAGAACAGUGCCUGGCCUUAAAAAUCUGUAAACACAUAGGAAGUUGUCUCAUUUGACUGGACAAUGCAGCCAUGCAUGGAUGCCACAUGGUGCUUAUUGCAAAGUACUGUUACCGAGCAAUAGGCUUGCUUCCUGAUGCACACAGAAGCCAGUACUAUGGCACCAAUUUUUAAGAAAAGAAAAAGCUUUAUUGUAAGUUUGACCGGCAAGGAGACAGGAAGCAAUGCUCAAUCAAAUCUGUCUCCCCGAGCUGGUUCUAGGGGCAGGUUUCAUAGGCAGAGAGUAACUAUGAGGGAGACAGGGAAAUGCAAGGAGGCAUGAUCUGAUUGGGUCAUGCAACAAAAUGGUGUUGGGUCCUUGGUUUUUAAGUUCCUACUGCAACAAAAUAGGUUACCCCUUCCUUCUUAAUUUGGUCCCCAUUUCUUUAUCCUGGUAUCUACGUUCUGCGCGUGGUUGACUUUUUCAUUCUGGCUGGCUCCAGGGCACAAAUCGAUCACACUUGGUUCAUCUGGCCAUGCUCAGGUUACAUGAUUUGCAGCCUGGGAGUCCAUUGCAACUGAGAAACCAUUCAUUAUUUUUUUACUGGCAAAGUUGAACCAGAUUGUACAGUGGGGCCACCUCUGCAUUGACAAUCAGAUGUGUGAUGUCCCUUCCCGCUGGGAACACUGUCUCUGACUGCUGUGGGGAAGGAGCCUGAGAGCGGGUUGUGGAUUCUAACCCUGCUGUUGAGUGCAGGAAAGAACUGUGCAGGCAAUGGGGCUAUUGUGUUUUCAUUUCGAUCCCAGGAAUGAAAGCUCAGCUUAAAAAACAUAAUUAUAAUGGAC